rnacentral:tRNA from 1 species
GGGGAUUUAGCUCAGCGGCAUAAGCGCCUGCCUUGCGAGCAGGCAGUCAUGAGUUAAAUCCCUG